CCCAGGUCAUCCUCCCCUUCCUACUAGCCCACCAACCUUCUCUUUCUUGUUCUCCCUCUCUCCCUCCCUCCCUUCCUCCCACUCCCUCUCUUUCUCUCUCUUUCUCGUUCUCUCUCUCCCUUUCUUUCUCCCUUUCACCCAAAGGGUUGCCAUCCUACCUGAAGCAUGCAAGCACCGUGGCAGGCGGGUUCUUCAGCCUCUACCACUUCUUCCAGCUGCACAUGGUUUGGGUCGUGCUGCUCAGCCUCCUGUGCUACCUCGUGCUGUUCCUCUGCCGACAUUCCUCCCAUCGAGGCGUCUUCCUAUCCGUCACCAUCCUCAUCUACUUACUCAUGGGUGAGAUGCACAUGGUAGACACCGUGACAUGGCACAAGAUGCGAGGUAGGUAGCCCUGCCCCUCUCACCUGCCCAACCCCCCUGCCCCACUCCUCGUCUCCUAACUGCCCCCACCCUGUGCCUUUC
rnacentral:lncRNA from 1 species